rnacentral:sRNA from 1 species
GGCUUACCGGGGCUCCGACAGCGGCUGCAGCUCUCCAAGUUGCGGCCGCUGGAGCCCGAGCCAUGCGGACCGCGGACCGGGAGGCGCGCCCGGGGCUUCUGUCCCUGCUGCUGCUGCUGGCCGGGGCCGGGCUGUCAGCCGCCUCGCCCCCAGCAGCGCCGCGCUUCAACGUGAGCCUGGACUCGGCCCCCGAGCUGCGCUGGCUGCCCGUGCUGCGGCACUACGACUUGGACUUGGUGCGCGCCGCGAUGGCGCAAGUCAUCGGGGACAGAGUCCCCAAGUGGGUGCACGUGUUAAUCGGAAAAGUGGUCCUGGAGCUGGAGCGCCUGCUGCCCCAGCCCUUCACCGGCGAGAUCCGCGGCAUGUGUGACUUCAUGAACCUCAGCCUGGCGGACUGCCUUCUGGUCAACCUGGCCUACGAGUCCUCCGCGUGAGUGCCCCAAGCCGGCGCAGAGUAACGC